rnacentral:rRNA from 1 species
GACGAACGCUGGCGGCGUGCUUAACACAUGCAAGUCGAACGGAAAGGCCCUGCUUGUGUGGGAUGCUCGAGUGGCGAACGGGUGUGUAACGCGUGAGUAACCUGCUCUUGACUUUGGGAUAACUUCAGGAAACGGGGGCUAAUACCGGAUAGGAGCUCCUGCUGCAUGGUGGGGGUUGGAAAGUUUUGUGGGUUGGGGAUGGACGCGCGGCUUAUCAGCUGGUUGGUGGGGUAGUGGCUUACCAAGGGUUUGAGGGGUAGCCGGCCUGAGUGGGUGACCGGCAACAUGGGGACUGAGAUACGGCCCAGACUCCUCCGGGAGGAAGCAGUGGGGAAUAUUGAACAAUGGGCGGAAGCCGGAUGCAGCACCGCCGCGUGCGGGAUGACGGCCUUGGGGUUGUAAACCGCUUCCGCCUGUGACGAAGCGUGAGUGACGGUAAUGGGUAAAGAAGCACCGGCUAACUACGUG